ensembl:lncRNA
CAGCACUGCCCGGAAAAGGGGAGAAAGCCAGGGUAUUCAUCCGCCUACUCCGGCCCUCAUGGAUGGAGUCGCUCCCAGGUCAUUACCUCCCAGCACUUCACACCUGCCCACAAGCGGGCUAGUCAUGGUCCCAGGCAGAGCCAGAGCCGGAGGAUGCCCUGAGGCAGGAGAUACAGGAAGCCACCAACUCCAAUGAGAACUGCCCCAAAGUGACAUGCUCGGAAUCUCCGCAGCCCUCCCGUGUGCCUCUUUAGUGUGUCUGAGCUGGAGUGAUGCAGCGGUCCAGUAGCAGUUCUACUGUAAGAAACGCACCCCCCUGGCCGCACACUCAGACUUGAUGUAACCAACGGAACAGAGUUUCAGCAGCAGGAGAAGCCAGUGGCGGCAGCAGCCCCCAGAGACGGGUUCUGGAGCAGUCAGCUCCGAUUCCCUGGUUGAAUUGAAAGAAACUGCCAUUCUUGUAGGUCAACACUCGUCAAGGUAUCAACAGUUUCAUAUGCUUCAAACCUCAUAAAAACCCCUCAGUAGUCUGGCUUCAAGAGAGGCAUGAUCCAGGAGCGUGGCCAGUUUCUCCAAGGACUCAGAUUUUCCCAGCCCUUCCAAUAUGCUUUUCAUGGGGACAGGCUCAUCACCAGAUCUCAGGAGUCCCUACCCUAGCAUGACCUAAGAUACCUCAUGAUGUCAAAAUGGCUGCAGCAGUUCCAGACAUACAUCUUGACACCAUAUCAUCCAGGGGAAGAGAAAUGGUCUCUUCUGACAGCACACGCAGGGGAAGGAAGGAGUUCCCCUUUCCCAGGAACACUGGCAAACAGCUCUCUUGCCUCCUUGGUUCUGAAAAAGUGGAAUAUUUUCCUACUAUUGCCAGGAGAUGGGAAUUUUUUUUUUUAGCUCAAGCUAAUCAGGACUCGACCUGGAGCUAGGAGUGAGGUCAAUCCCACCCAUAUCACAUAGUUGAGAAUAAGGGAGGCUAGUCUCCUCAAAGUCAAAUCUGGGGACUGUUACCAGAGGAAAAUAAAUAUUUAAUGGCAAAAGAGAGAUGUUCCCUGCAGGCUGCUGGCACUGAGGUGAGCAUGACCAGAACAAGCCUUUAGACGGAGUAAGCCCCCUGGGGGUUAGCAGCCACCUCAGGGCAGGAAGGUUUUGGGGCCAAGAACCUUACUUCCUGCUCAUAGGGGCUUGUGGGCUUCAAGCUGGUCUUUGCUUCCACACUGGAUAGUGGCAUUUGUACCCAGCUGGGGACACCAAACACAGGCCACG